rnacentral:rRNA from 1 species
GACGAACGCUGGCGGCGUGCCUAAUACAUGCAAGUUGAGCGCUGAAGGAUGGUACUUGUGCCCACUGGAUGAGCAGCGAACGGGUGAGUAACGCGUGGGGAAUCUGCCUUUGAGCGGGGGACAACAUUUGGAAACGAAUGCUAAUACCGCAUAAAAACUUUAAACACAAGUUUUAAGUUUGAAAGAUGCAAUUGCAUCACUCAAAGAUGAUCCCGCGUUGUAUUAGCUAGUUGGUGAGGUAAAGGCUCACCAAGGCGAUGAUACAUAGCCGACCUGAGAGGGUGAUCGGCCACAUUGGGACCGGGACACGGCCCAAACUCCUACGGGAGGCAGCAGUAGGGAAUCUUCGGCAAUGGAGGAAAGUCUGACCGAGCAACGCCGCGUGAGGGAAGAAGGGUUUCGGAUCGUAAAACUCUGUUGGUAGAGAAGAAAGUUGGUGAGAGUGGAAAGCUCAUCAAGUGACGGUAACUACACAGAAAGGGACGGCUAACUACGUG